AAAGAAACCAACAGGGAUUGCCCUAGUAACGGCGAGUGAAGCGGCAACAGCUCAAAUUGAAAGCUGGCUUAGGCCCGCAUUGUAAUUGCAGAGGAUGCUUCUGGCGAGGUGCCUUCCGAGUUCCCUGGAACGGGACGCCAUAGAGGGUGAGAGCCCUGUAUGGAUGGACACCAGACCUGUGUGAAGCUCCUUCAACGAGUCGAGUAGUUUGGGAAUGCUGCUCUAAAUGGGAGGUAAAUCUCUUCUAAAGCUAAAUACCGGCCAGAGACCGAUAGCGCACAAGUAGAGUGAUCGAAAGAUGAAAAGCACCUUGAAAAGGGGGUUAAACAGUACGUGAAAUUGUUGAAAGGGAAGCGCUUGUGACCAGACUUGCGCCGGGCAGCUCAUCAGGGGUUCUCCCCUGUGCACUCUGCCCGGCUCAGGCCAGCAUCGGUUCUCGUGGGAGGAUAAGAACGGUAGGAACGUGGCCCCCCUCCGGGGGGGUGUUAUAGCCUGCCGUACGAUACUCCCGUGGGGACCGAGGUUCGCGCUCCGCAAGGAUGCUGGCGUAAUGGUCAUCAGCGACCCGUCUUGAAACACGGACCAAGGAGUCGUCCAUUAGAGCGAGCGUUUGGGUGUAAAACCCGCACGCGUAAUGAAAGUGAACGCAGGUGAGAGCUUCGGCGCAUCAUCGACCGAUCCUGAUGUCUUCGGAUGGAUUUGAGUAAGAGUUUUAACGGACGGACCCGAAAGACAGUGAACUAUGCUUGUAUAGGGUGAAGCCAGAGGAAACUCUGGUGGAGGCUCGCAGCGGUUCUGACGUGCAAAUCGAUCGUCAAAUAUGAGCAUGGGGGCGAAAGAC
rnacentral:rRNA from 1 species